UACGUAGGGUGCAAGCGUUGUCCGGAAUUAUUGGGCGUAAAGAGCUCGUAGGCGGUUUGUCGCGUCUGCUGUGAAAUCCCAGGGCUUAACCCUGGGCCUGCAGUGGGUACGGGCAAACUAGAGUGCGGUAGGGGAGAUCGGAAUUCCUGGUGUAGCGGUGAAAUGCGCAGAUAUCAGGAGGAACACCGGUGGCGAAGGCGGAUCUCUGGGCCCUAACUGACGCUGAGGAGCGAAAGCAUGGGUAGCGAACAGG
rnacentral:rRNA from 1 species